rnacentral:rRNA from 1 species
UACGUAGGGUGCGAGCGUUAAUCGGAAUUACUGGGCGUAAAGCGUGCGCAGGCGGUUUUGUAAGCCAGAUGUGAAAUCCCCGGGCUCAACCUGGGAAUGGCAUUUGGGACUGCAAGGCUUGAGUGCGGCAGAGGAGACUGGAAUUCCUGGUGUAGCAGUGAAAUGCGCAGAUAUCAGGAGGAACACCGGUGGCGAAGGCGGGACUCUGGGCCGAUACUGACGCUGAGGAGCGAAAGCGUGGGGAGCAAACAGG